CAAACUUUCAACUUAGUGACAGUCUGUGAGUGUUGUCCGAAUGUAAACAAAGCCUUUUUUUUAUUUCUAUUGUUUUUUUUAUUAUUUUAUCUAUAUCAAGAAGAUUAUUUAAGCAACUGGCAUAUCAUUUUUGAUGGCUCACAAGCACUGUAAACUGUGUAAAGGAUAUCGGCAGUGUCACUCACAUAUGCUAGGGAAGCGUCUAUUGGAAAUACCCAUGAGCGCACUUUGGAUGACAUCCCUUCCAUCAUAAAUCUGUUGUAUGCAAGUGAAUUGAAAUUGGGACUUGUAGUCUUUGUUAUUCUUUCGAUUUUUUAUUAUGGUGUUGUGUUACCAAUCUUAAAGAUAAUUGCAACAACUUGCAUAACGUACGUGAUACGUGCAGCGGCCGUUUAUUUGUUUGAUGAGGACGAUAUUGAAAUGGAUGUAGGUGAGGUUAUCGUCGAUCAAUAUUGGGAUUAUGGUGCCCUGCUACGAUUUUUAAACCCUAUUGAAACCUUAAGGAGAAUUCUCAUUGGGUGACGGUGGAGCCAUCACUGAUGAAUUUCUUACAUUUUAAAUUUUGUGUUUCUCGCUUCACAAUAAGACCAUCAAGAUGACAUUUCUUCAGUAAUCCAUUAGGUUACAAUAUAAACACACAGUAAUAACGUAAAGUACAGAGCAUGUAACAUAGAUAUCUUGAAAAAAGAAACAGAUAUGCAUGUCACAGCUUUUACAAUACUUUGUCUACAAUUCUUGUUUUCUUACUGAAGAUAAAGUUAACAGGUCAUUUACGUCAAUAUCCGUUGAUGUUACUCUUGAUAAUUGUUGUCAUUGUAUUGUCUAUUUAUUUUAAAAGUUUUAACUUGGAUCUACCCAGUCUUUUGCUUUAGGUUAAUUGUAAAGUGAAAUGUUCAUUUAAGUAAUGUCCUAUUUUAACAAAGUCAGUCUAGGGCUUACCAUGGAAUACUGUAUUGAUACCAGCUAUAUUUUUAAAUAUUUUUUAAAAAUUUACAUUGUUUUCUUGUUACCCAGUCAGUGUAAUGUAAUUGACCAAAAUUGUUUGUUUUAAUUUAAUUGUUGUUUUUAAAUGGACUUCUGGUAAUUAAAAUUUAAAAUGCCA